rnacentral:misc_RNA from 1 species
AUUGUAGGGAGCAUAAGUUAUUUAUAUAAAUGUACUACUCAUGUUUUCUGCAGAACAUGUGUGAUUGUUUACUGAUCUACAUAUACCUGUAUGUUCCUGUCUACGCUAAAAGUUCAACAACCCCCUACUCCCCAACAUACUCACAAGCAAAUUCUUAGCUAAGAAAAGAAUAUGAAGGUAGCAGUUCAUCCCUGAAUAGCUUCUGUCACAUGCAGCUGCUCUAUCAUUGUUUCCUAGCGAAUGCGUUAUGGUUACAUGAUUUCAAAGAUGCGUGUCAGUCAACCAUGCCUUAAUCCUUUCCCUUAGUAGACUUUGAUGGAUCCAAACAAGUCUUGCUAGUAGUGCUGCUGUUGAUAGGAGAAGCAUCAGUUCUUAUGUACUAUCUGACUACCCUUCAAUAUGACAACUGAAUCUGCUUUUAUGCCUUGUUAAGACCCCUCUUCACCUUUAGCACAUUCAUUUUCACUGUUAACCUCUGGCUUUGAUUGUGAUAUGUGACAAGUCUCAGCCUCUACACACAGAGUGAUACCACAAUCAGCAGCAAUAUCAUUAAGCAUAUCGCGUCUUUUCCCUGACCCUGUGUGACGUCUUGAUAGCUUGGGUAUCAUCUUUGGCUGCACGCUACAAUUAUUUCUUAAUUCAACACAUUGAGCUGCAAAUUCAUUCCCAUAUCUUGAGGUGAAAACCUCACGAAGUUCAUGCAGCUCUGGGAAUUCUCCCCAUCUUGAAGCUGCAUAUAUCAAGCUUGAGAUUGCCUCUGCUAGCUCCUCAGGACAUUCCCCUUUAGUUUUUAUGAGCACUCUUUUUUCUAUUAGGAGAUGGCAAUAUUUUUCCAUCAUUGUAAGUGCAUCUACAGUGUUUUGUUCCUUGAUAACAAGUUCGACUCGAUGAAGAGCAUCUUCUUGGCGACCAAGAUGUAGUAGUUGAGUAACAUCAGAACGAGCAAGUGAGCACCUAACUUGGUGUUGCUUUUUGAGAAUGGAAAUUCUUGAGAUGGCAAGGUUAGACAGUGUUGUAACUUUUGAUGCCUUGAAUUUUCCUCCAAAGAAUCCCAUGUUUG